rnacentral:pre_miRNA from 1 species
AUAGUACUCCCUCCGUCCGGAAAUACUUGUCAUCAAGAUGAAUAAAAAGGGAUGUAUCUAGAUGUAUUUUAGUUCUAGAUACACCUCUUUUUAUCCAUUUUGAUGACAAGUAUUUCCGGACGGAGGGAGUAUCUG